rnacentral:rRNA from 1 species
AAACUUACCAGGUCAAGACAUGGGCGUGAUUGACAGGCUAAUGACUUUUCUCGAUUCCAUGGAUGGUGGUGCAUGGUCGCACUUAGUUGGUGCAGUGAUUUGUCAGGUUUAUUCCGGUAACGAACGAGACCUCGGCCUUGUAAAUAGCUAUGCUGCUUACAGGGACAUUGGCGGCUACGCCAAGGAAGCUCGAGGCAAUUGCAGAUCUGGAAUGCCCUUAGAUGUCCUGGGUCGCACGCGUGCUACAAUGACGCCACGAACGAGCUUGCGUGAUGAAAGUUACGCAUAAUCAGCAGUCGGCGUCUUAAGGGAUAGUCUCUUGUAACUGUGGGACUCCAACUAGGAAUGUCUCGUAAGCACAAGUCAACAUCUUGUGUUGAUUACGUCCCUGCUCUUUGUACACACCGCCCGUCGCUCCUACCGAUCGAGUGUUUAGGUGAAUUUGAUGGACGUAAGGAAGUCAAAUAAACCUGAGCACUAGAGAAGAGAAGUCGACAUUC